UAGCUCAGCUGGUAAAGAACCUGCCUGCAAUGCAGGAGACCCUGGUUCAAUUCCUGG
rnacentral:tRNA from 1 species